UACGUACCGGACGAACGUUAUUCGGAAUUACUGGGCUUAAAGAGUGCGUAGGCGGCCUAGCAGGUGAGGUGUGAAAUCCCACGGCUCAACCGUGGAACUGCUGGGUAUACUGCUUUUCUUGAGCCACUUAGGGGCUGUCGGAACAAACGGUGGAGCGGUGAAAUGCGUAGAUAUCGUUUGGAACGCCAAUGGUGAAAACAGACAGCUGGGAGUGUGCUGACGCUGAGACACGAAAGCCAGGGGAGCGAACGGG
rnacentral:rRNA from 1 species